rnacentral:rRNA from 1 species
CCAAGCGUUGUCCGGAUUCAUUGGGCGUAAAGGGCUCGUAGGCGGUUUGUCGCGUCGGGAGUGAAAACACCGGGCUUAACUCGGUGCUUGCUUUCGAUACGGGCAGACUAGAGGUAUGCAGGGGAGAACGGAAUUCCUGGUGUAGCGGUGAAAUGCGCAGAUAUCAGGAGGAACACCGGUGGCGAAGGCGGUUCUCUGGGCAUUACCUGACGCUGAGGAGCGAAAGUGUGGGGAGCGAACAGG